UACAGAGGGUGCGAGCGUUAAUCGGAAUUACUGGGCGUAAAGCGUGCGUAGACGGUUAUUUAAGUCGGGUGUGAAAGCCCCGGGCUCAACCUGGGAAUUGCAUUCGAGACUGAAUAGCUAGGGUACGGUAGAGGGAAGCGGAAUUUCCGGUGUAGCGGUGAAAUGCGCAGAUAUCAGGAAGAACACCCGUGGCGAAGGCGGCUCUCUGGGACGGUACUGACGCUGAGACGCGAAAGCGUGGGGAGCGAACAGG
rnacentral:rRNA from 1 species